UUUUUUGGAUUCUAACUAACUAGAGGUAGUUUGUAAAGCUACUUAGGGAGACAUCCCCAAAUAAU
rnacentral:tRNA from 1 species